UCACACAGCUCCUUUAAAAAAGAAAACAAUCUCCCCUAGCGGAUACUAUCCACUCUCCCUAAACUGUGGGCCUUCAAGCAGCCACCAACAAAGAGUGCGUCACAGCUCUAUACUAAAAAUCACAUAAAUGAAUCCCUUCCCACUAACAGGCUAACCUAUUCUAAUAGGAGAAUCAAUGCUAAAAUGAGUAACUAGGGAUCUCCCUCUUAAGCGUAGACUUACAUCCGCACAUUAUUAACAGACUACAAACCAAUAUCCCAACCCCAACAAGAUUAAAAUAUUGAAUUCCACCCUGUUAAUCCAACUCAGGUACGCCUUCUAGAAAGAUUAAAAUCUGUAAAAGGAACUAGGCAAACUCAAGGCCCGACUGUUUACCAAAAACAUAGCCUUCAGCCAACCAAGUAUUGAAGGUGAUGCCUGCCCAGUGACACAACGUUUAACGGCCGCGGUAUCCUAACCGUGCGAAGGUAGCGCAAUCAAUUGUCCCAUAAAUCGAGACUUGUAUGAAUGGCUAAACGAGGUCUUAACUGUCUCUUACAGAUAAUCAGUGAAAUUGAUCUCCCUGUCCAAAAGCAGGGAUGCACUCAUAAGACGAGAAGACCCUGUGGAACUUAAAAAUCAACAGCCACUGCUCACAAACCAAAACCUAACAGGCUUACUGCCCUAUAAUGCUGGUUGACAUUUUUCGGUUGGGGCGACCUUGGAGAAAAACAAACCCUCCAAAAAUAAGAUCACACCUCUUAACUAAGAGCAACCCCUCAACGUACUAAUAGUAACCAGACCCAAUUCUAUUGAUAAAUGGACCAAGCUACCCCAGGGAUAACAGCGCAAUCUCCUCUAAGAGCCCACAUCGACGAGGAGGUUUACGACCUCGAUG
rnacentral:rRNA from 1 species